AAGUUUGUGGGUAACUUCACUGCAAACCCUCACGAGAUAACACUCGUCCACUAGGGUAACCUAGGGGUUUAAAGGCUUGUUGCACAUGUUAAGUGCAAUCGUGAUUCCCUACGAAAAUGGGUACAUAUCUUAGUUUUGUGUAUUUAGCUUAAAAAAAAGAAAAGAGAGAGUCAUAAGUUAGACUACAUCUUUUUGUGCCCUCAUUUUAUCGUUUGCUUGUUAAUUGCUAGAGACUAG
rnacentral:lncRNA from 1 species